GACGAACGCUGGCGGCGUGCUUAACACAUGCAAGUCGAACGGAAAGGCCCUGCUUUUGUGGGGUACUCGAGUGGCGAACGGGUGAGUAACACGUGAGUAACCUGCCCUUGACUUUGGGAUAACUUCAGGAAACUGGGGCUAAUACCGGAUAGGAGCUCCUGCUGCAUGGUGGGGGUUGGAAAGUUUCGGCGGUUGGGGAUGGACUCGCGGCUUAUCAGCUUGUUGGUGGGGUAGUGGCUUACCAAGGCUUUGACGGGUAGCCGGCCUGAGAGGGUGACCGGCCACAUUGGGACUGAGAUACGGCCCAGACUCCUACGGGAGGCAGCAGUGGGGAAUAUUGCACAAUGGGCGGAAGCCUGAUGCAGCAACGCCGCGUGCGGGAUGACGGCCUUCGGGUUGUAAACCGCUUUCGCCUGUGACGAAGCGUGAGUGACGGUAAUGGGUAAAGAAGCACCGGCUAACUAUGUG
rnacentral:rRNA from 1 species